rnacentral:tRNA from 1 species
GGGGAUUUAGCUCAGUGGUAGAGCACUUGCCUAGCAAGCGCAAGGCCCUGGGUUCACUCCCCA